GAUGAAGAACGCAGCGAAAUGCGAUAAGUAGUGUGAAUUGCAGAAUUCAGUGAAUCAUCGAAUCUUUGAACGCACAUUGCGCCCCUUGGUAUCCCGAGGGGCAUGCCUGUUCGAGCGUCAUUUCACCACUCAAGCCUGGCUUGGUGUUGGGCGACGUCCCCUUUGGGGACGCGCCUCGAAACGCUCGGCGGCGUGGCACCGGCUUUAAGCGUAGCAGAAUCUUUCGCUUUGGAAGUCGGGGCCCCGUCUGCCGGAAGACCUACUCGCAAGGUUGACCUCGGAUCAGGCAGGGAUACCCGCUGAACUUAAGCAUAUCAAUAAGUGGAGGA
rnacentral:misc_RNA from 1 species